rnacentral:snRNA from 1 species
AUCUUUGCGCUUGGGGCAAUGACGCAGCUAGUGAGGUAAAACCGAGGCGCGUCAAUUGCUGGUUGAAAACUAUUUCCAACCCCCCUCGUUGGCCUGGGCUUUGGCCUUCGAGAAUUUUUGGAGGGUCCGCCUUUGGC